GAGGAAGAAGGGCCUGGCUGCAGGGGCUAUAGGCAAGGUACUGCCAGUGGUGAGGCCAUAGAAUCUGGACCGGUGAGAUCAGCGAUGGACACCAAUGGUGGAUCACAGGUGUCGAAGACAGGUGGCCAAAUGUGGCCCACAGUUUGUGGAGGAGAGGCAUAUGGAGAUCCCAGAAGGAAGUGUUCCAUACCAAUUUGAACAGAAGGCUGUUUGGAUCAAGAUAUAGCAUUGCAUUGACUGACAACUUUAUGGAAUAUAGUAUCUCUGCUUCAACAUUGUAGGCUGAUAAAAAGGAAGACUGUGAAAUCAUGUUGCAUCUUAUAUUUAAAUCAACUCAGAAGAUGGAAGAGACUGUCAAAAAUGAUGAACAAUCUUUUGGACUCUUUUUAAUAAAUUGGAAUU